AACGUAGGAGGCGAGCGUUAUCCGGAUUCACUGGGCGUAAAGCGCGCGUAGGCGGUCGGGUAAGUCGGAUGUGAAAGCCCCUGGCUCAACUGGGGGAGGCCAUUCGAUACUGCUCGGCUUGAGGGUGAGAGAGGAGAGUGGAAUUCCCGGUGUAGCGGUGGAAUGCGUAGAGAUCGGGAGGAACACCAGUGGCGAAGGCGGCUCUCUGGCUCACUCCUGACGCUGAGUGCGCGAAAGCGUGGGGAGCAAACGGG
rnacentral:rRNA from 1 species